GAUGAACAUCAAUACCAAGAUGGUUUGUGUGUUCAUAUUGUCACGGUGUGGUUUCUAUGGUUUAGGUUUCUCAAUGGAGAUAAUGGACUUUAAAUAUCAAAUGUAUUAUCUUAUCAAUCAUAGCCUCCUGAAUGAAGAACUUUCUUGUGUCUUGUGAUUGAGAUCAAUCUAGUGUUGGCCGCUAGCUGGCUCUCUCUUUCACAUGCUGUAUCCAUUAGCCUGAGGACGAGGUUAAGAUCCAUUAGCCUGAGGACGAGGUUAAGAUCCAUUAGCCUGAGGACAAGCCUCAGAUCCAUUAGCCUGAGGACGAGCCAUUAGCCUGAGGACGAGCCAUUAGCCUGAGGACGAGCUUCAGAUCCAUUAGCCUGAGGACGAGCCAUUAGCCUGAGGACGAGCCAUUAGCCUGAGGAUGAGCGUCAGAGCCAUUAGCCUGAGGACGAGCGUCAGAUCCAUUAGCCUGAGGACGAGCGUCAGAUCCAUUAGCCUGAGGACGAGCGUCAGAUCCAUUAGCCUGAGGACGAGCUUAAGGUCAAACUCACGUAUUUCCCAAACCCACCAUCCGCGGAGCCUGACACAAAAACACACUGCCGAAAAUAACCAGGAAGUGGAGGUGGAGAGUGUAGCAGCAGGAAUAGAAUAGAAGAAACCUCAGAAAGACUCAGCGUUGAAACGGUUCCUCAAUGAGUAGUCGACUUGAGCAGGAGAACCAGGUGAAUCAACAAAAAAACAUGAAGAAACUCAAUGAGCAUUCAAUAAAUGGUUUACAUAUGUGUCUAUUGAUGGUGGUAGUUUAUACUAUAACCCUUAUAGAGCCUAUUGCUCCUCACUCUGGCUACCUGGGGUUGUAUGUAUCCAGCAUAUCAAAGUAGAUCUGGCUUUUAGAUCACAAUGAAUAACAUUGCAUGGACAACGUGGACCUGAUCCCAGAUCAGCACUCUCAUACUCUGAGACGCUUUAUGGAUACGGCCCUGGUCGUGUACCAAUAGUAGCCAGUCUCUAAAGCCUUGUGUUCUGAUCUUAGAGGCAUUCAACCCAAAAAAAAACACUACCUCAUUUCGAAUCCAAGUCUUUAUCCUUACAGCAGUGGUUCCCAAACCUCUUCUCGGGAGUUGUAGUCCUGAACAAACUCACCUGAACCAGCUAAUCAAGGGCUUGCUUGACAAGUUAAAUCAGGUGUGCUAGCUCUGGAAUACAUCACAUACAUGGAGUGGCAGCGGCUCCCCGAGGAGAGGGAAACUUGAAUAUCCUUAUGUUUUAAGGCUCCAGAUAAAUGUAUUUUAAUAAGACCUCGCCAUGGUUUUACAAGGCCAGAGAGGGGAUUUUAUACCAUUCAGCACCAUGGGAUAGCGCCAUACAGAUAAUUACUUGAUUCCCAGUGAUUGAUACAUAAGUGAUUAACGUAUCGAUGCAGCAGUUUGCUAUGCAAACGAAACAGACACCAGGGCAGGAACGUACCUACACGGAUAAAUAAAUGCAUCCAUUCUGAACAAAAGCUUUGUAUUCUUCCCUUUACUAAAGAAAAUCAACGCCCGCC
rnacentral:lncRNA from 8 species